rnacentral:ncRNA from 2 species
GGCAUUCACCAGGGGGGUCCCGACAAGGGGCUGAGAUUCUGCUAGCUUUCGCAGCGCAGUGACCCGUUGAACCUGAUCCAGUUCAUACUGGCGUAGGGACGGUGCAAGCGCUGUUUU